GUCACCAUUUCAUUAAAGUUGUCUCAAAAGGGCUUCAGCGUGUUGGCUUCGGCCCCACGUUCGCCUCCCAAAAAUCCGGGACUCUAUAGUCCCGAGGUCUGGUAGAGACAUACAAGAUAAUAAUAAUAAUGACCCCGCAGGGCAUCUGAGGCGGAUGACGGGGAGUAGCGACCCCGCGGGGCUAUAUAUCCGAGUGCUCCAGGGAGAGUAUACUGUCCCCCAUCUCCGGCUUGCCGGAGUGAAGCAUGAUGGGGGAUAGGUCUCCCGCCUCUUGGCUUGCCUUCAUCGGCCGGUCAGAGUGGAGUCGCUAGAGCAAGGUUAGUCCUGCUCGGAGGGUAGGUGCCUCGUGGUAAGUGGCGAGUGGGCCGGUGAUGCUGGACCCACAGGGAGCGCGUGAUCUGCGUUUAAAGUCCGCCGAGGUAUCCUCACCCUUCCCAGCCGCUCAUGUCCCUGUUGCCCUCUUGUUGCUUUUCAGUGACUAAUUCCCGGGGGCCCAGUAAGUGAGUUGGCGAGUCUCCACCUGCCAUUUUAACAUGUAUUUAAUACAUUGUCAUCGGCAGGUGCCAUAGUUCCCAUAGUUUCCCCAUUCCUAGUCCAUUAGCACCCCAUCACAAUAGCCCAAGUAGUUUUCAUCCAUAGUUAGCAAUAGUUUAUCACAGAACCGGGGAUUGUCCUUGGGUA